AAACUAAAAAAUUUGGAGGGAUUAAUUUCAAAAUUUGGAGAGAUUUUAUAAAACUAAUCGGCGACUAAUUGACAUUUAGUCGCUAAUGGUCUUUUGGCUAAAUUACACUUUUGGCUACAAAAAGUUUAGUCGGUAUUGAUUAUUAUUUGGCGACCAAAUAUAAGUUUAGUCGCUAAAGGUAGAAACAAUAUUUUUGUUUUAGAGGGAACUGAAUAUUGGCAUCCGUGCCCCUCUUUCACACAGACACAAGAUCUCUGUUCUCUCUCAUACACACACACACAGAGCUCUCUCACAUACAGAACAGUCACCACCAAACCUCACCCCCGGCUCACCACCCCACCGCUGCACGUCGCACAGCCACCGCCGCAAAUCACCACCUAGGUUCGCUCUCUUGGUUUGUCACUCUCUGUCUCGCUCUCUGUCUCACUCCGACUCUCUCUCUCAAACCCUUCUUCUAUUUCCCCAAAUGUGAAAUCUUGCUCUAGGGUUAUUUAUUCUACCCAUUCAGUUUAAUUUUGUCUUCAUUUAUGAAAUGGGUUUGUUUGAAAUGGUUUCAUUACUAGAGUUUUAUGGGUUUAAUAUUGUAAAUGGAUUUGAUUUUAGGGUUUGAUACCUUUCCCCCUAUUUUUCCUUUCUAUCUCAUUAUUUUAAAAUCUCUAAUCCAUUGUAUGUAAUCUCAUGUAUUGAAAAAUAGAAAUUAUCAAAUAAAAGUGUUAUCAGUGGCAUUGUAUGAGGAUGAGAUCUGAUCCCUUUUUGAAGGUUCUAGGGAAGCAGCUGCUUUGAACUUGCAAAGAGUUUGGUUGAGGGAGAACCGGAGGUUGUGGUAGGAUAGGUUGCUAUUUGUAAGGUGUAUGGCUAGUAGCUAUUUGUUGUUUGGGAAGGGACUUAUCUAUUCCAUAGUUUAAAAGAAUAGAACCUUCUUGCUGAUACUUCUUCCUGGAUUUCAUCAAUUGCAAUUACUUCUAUUCAUGUUCCAAAAGACAAGAUUGCUUAGACCAAAUGAGACAAAUACUUAUUAUAUCUAUGCUCUUCCUUUUAAGUAAAUCAUUGGAAACACUAAAACUCCAUUGGAUCAUAGAUUUUUUUAAACUAGGGAAUAGAUAAGUCAGUGAAUUGAUACAAAACAGUGAAUUGAUACAAAAUCCUAUAGCCUACAGGAUACUAAAAACAAUGAAUUGAUACCUUUCCUCCUGUUUUUUGUAUCUCCUACAGCCCUCCAGGAUACUAAAAACAGUGAAUUGAUACAAAAUCCAAUACCCAAUUUGACAACUAUAAUUACAAAUUAAUUCAGUAUUUGUUUUGAUUCGUUUGGUUGUUUUGAACUCUGUGAACUAUGAAGCUAAAAAAGUUAACGAUUUAUACGCAAACUAAGGUAAGCUUAAUUGCGACAAGAAUUUGAGACCUGGAAAACCUCAAGUCGUCUUUUUUCUUGCAUGAUACAUUAGUUUGCCAGACUAAAAAUUAAAAAAAUUAUUAAUUUAUAUUACAUUUUCCUAUUAUUAAAUGUUAAGUUAUGGCACUUGUCCAUUAAUAUGUAAUUCCCAAUAGUGUUGUCAUUAACAUUGUGAUGUUGAUAUUGCUUCUCUAAAAUGUUAACUCUUCAUUAUUACAACCUUCUUUGCUUGAUUAUUUUGGGCAAAACAAAAAAUAUAUACAUAUAUAUAUAUAUUUUUGGCAAAAAUAUUUAGGCCAUGGUGAUAUGUAAUUUUUUAUAAGAGUUUAUGUCAAUGUGUUUAGUGCAACUUACUACUUGAGCUUAUGAGAAAAAUGACAAACUAAUUAUUGUGAAUGAAAUUGUUAUGUAGAACGAAAAAACUCAAAUUUAAACUUUUAAUUGCCAUAAAUUCCUGUAGGUUUCAGUUUAGUUUGUUUGUUAACUGCAGCCCUUUUAAUUGCCCUAAACAUAACUUUUGGUAUUAAUUCAUAGAAUGGAUGCUCGUCUACCAGUCAAUCUAUUGCUAUAUUUAUAUUAUUUAAUCUGAGUUUGGGUGUCUUUGUUUCUCUCUCUGUAAUUUGGUACCUGAUAGUUGACAAUCAAUCACUUUGAUUGCGGUAAAUUUGUAACACACGCACACUUUGUUACUCUCCUUGUCUUUUAAUGUUUGAACACUUUCACAGGUGCUAUAUGUCCUCUAGAAGUGCCUCUAUAGGCACCAAACUGAUAUUCUAUAACAACUUUUCUAAAUUCAAUCUAUAGUUAGGGAAUUUUAACCUAAAAAAACAAAGAUAGAAAAAAACUAGCUUGGAUGAAACUCUUUUCAAAAAAACUAACUUGGGUUUUAUUACUUCGAUGAGUUCAUGGACGAUCCUACAACUAUAGGAAAUCCAGUUGCAAUGCAGAGAUUCUAUGCAGAGACAGACAUUUUCCUGUUCUGGUCUUACGGCAAUUCUGCAGAUAUUAUGGGAACAAGGGUCACAGAGCCUGCAAUGGAUGCAGUUAAAAAUAUGGGGGGAAAUAGUUGAGAAAGUAGUUUUACAACGGUGAUUCAAGUUCUUUCCUCAUGUAAACAGCCAAGAUAUGAAAGAAGGGUUCUAUGACAAAGUGGAGAGUCAACUUCAUGGUCAUGUCUCGUUAGAAUUUAAGGCAUAAAACUUGAUUUAAACUAAUAACACAGCUGUGUUCAAGACAUGUCUAGUUAUCAUUGCAUAUGAUUCAUUUUCUCUAGUUAUCAUCUGCUUGAGGUAUAGGCUCUCUUCUAAUUCUUCUUUCUUUUUAUCACAUUUUUUAUUUUAUAAUCCUUUAUUGGCCCUUUCAUAUGUUUAGGAGGAAACAUAUUCUUAUGAUGUUAAACAUAUUUAAACUUUUUAGUUGUAUCUAUAUGGAGCCGUGUUUGUUUUCAAGUAUACUACCGUAUAAUAUAAUUGGCUUUUGCAUAGAGAGGGAAAAAGGAAAACAAAAUCAUAUGAGCAACCACAACAACUAUCCUUUAACAAUAAUGACUAACAACAAUCAAAACAAAUAUGAGCAACCACAUCAGAGUACUUGCAUUGCAACUUGAUUUUAAAACCAAAACAAAUAUGAACUUUUAUCUGUUAAUCCCUUCUUUGGGAUUUUUAUCUUUGGAACUCUAAAUCCUAACAACUUCCAAUUUAUUUAUGAAUACUAGGAACUUAAAGUAAGAGAUUUAGGACCAGUGGCUUUUUGCUCAAAUUUCUUGUCCAACAUAUAAAUAUAGUAAUUAAUGAUUUUCUAUUAUCUUCCUAUGAUAUGUAUAUAUUUGUUUGUACAUAAAAGUGAAUAUAUGCGAAAGGAUGUUUACUUUUCUGCCUUGUUCCACAUUAGUGUUAAAAAACUAGCAAUAAAAGUUGUCUUGACAUGGAUGAACAAUGCAAGAGGAGGGUUUACCUUUUCUUUGGACUGGUAUAUAUGGGUUCACAGAUGACCAUGUUAUGGAGGAGCUUGGAUUGGGUCCAAAUGGUGGCCUUUAAUUGCAUGGACUCCACUAAUUGAGCCUAUAUAAGGCCAAUUGAUUCUAGAAGCCUUAGAUACACUUCAUUGUUAUCAUCUUCUCAACAAAAAUGUGAAGUGAGGGAGAGACAAAGCGGACUUUGAGAUCAAAGCUUGGGGAGAAAACAUUGUUGGAAAUUGAAGGAAAUUGGAAGAAUUGUGCAAGAAAUUCCUAGAAUUCAAAGAAUUGAGAACUCUAGGCGAUCAGGCGUGUGACCAGGCUCAAUGAUGAUUGACUGGAGGUUUGUUUGUGUCCGCCAACCUGUGCACCUCUCGAGGAGGUUUUUGGAAUGCUUCAUGUAGUCGAAUUUUGUGAACCAAGUUUAUGACUUUUAUAUUAAUUUUGUUUUUAACUGAACAAGUUUUUGUACAAUCUGUAUAUGUGGGAUAUGGUGACAUAAGACCAAUGUACUUAUGGCGUCA